rnacentral:rRNA from 1 species
UGGGGGAUAUUGCGCAAUGGGGGCAACCCUGACGCAGCAACGCCGCGUGAAGGAUGAAGGAUUUCGGAUUGUAAACUUCUUUUAUUAAGGACGAAAAAUGACGGUACUUAAUGAAUAAGCUCCGGCUAACUACGUGCCAGCAGCCGCGGGAAUACGUAGGGAGCAAGCGUUGUCCGGAUUUACUGGGUGUAAAGGGUGCGUAGGCGGCUUUGCAAGUCAGAUGUGAAAUCUAUGGGCUCAACCCAUAAACUGCAUUUGAAACUGUAGAGCUUGAGUGAAGUAGAGGCAGGCGGAAUUCCCCGUGUAGCGGUGAAAUGCGUAGAGAUGGGGAGGAACACCAGUGGCGAAGGCGGCCUGCUGGGCUUUAACUGACGCUGAGGCACGAAAGCGUGGGUAGCAAACAGG